rnacentral:tRNA from 1 species
CAUUAGAUGACUGAAAGCAAGUAAUGGUCUCUUAAACCAUAUUUAUAGUAAAUUAGCACUUACUUCUAAUGA